rnacentral:lncRNA from 7 species
CUUGUUCCGCCGUGCAGAGAGGGAAGAGAGCAGUCACCGCCAUGGCUAUCAAUCUCGGGCCGGGGCAUGACUUGGCCCUCGAUAAGGGUAUAGAGAGCACGGCCGGGUCACGUGGAACCUGCCCAAGGGAGUAAUCAAGCGCAAGGAGUUGUGAUCGGGGGCGAUUUCUCGCCGGGGUACAUCAUCCUCCAUCGGGCCGCCAUUCACCGUGGCCGACCCUCGCUCCAUCUCCACCGUCGUUAAGGACUCCUCUAUUGAGUUUGCUAUCACCUCCACAUCGCGUAGAGACUUGUAGAUUGGGGGUUAGUUCCCUAAAGCGUUGGCUUAGUACGUCUCCGACGGGGGACCAACGCAGGAAGGGCGGCGCCGCCGUGCUCGGAUGUCGGGUGGGGUGGGGGAUGGCCCUUGGCCAUUGAUUGCGAGGAAGAUGGAUAAUAUUAGAACGAGAGAUAAUGUUUCGGCCAAUUAAAUCUAGGACGUUCAGAUGUGAUCUGGUGGUUAAGAAUAGGUCACACAACACACAUGGAGGUCUCUUGGGUUGUGGAUCUCUAAUCUAGGGGCUCAUAAUGUGUACCGCUUCAGUUUAAAUAUUGAUCUCUUCUGAACCAUAGGCGUCGAUCAGAUGACUGUAGUUAGCCGAUACCCCUUCGGUCGAGACUAAUUGCAUAAGAGUCUCUGCCAUUUUGUUUAAUAAACCCGCCAUCCGCAUCAAUUCAAAAGUUAUUGCAACUUAAUCCUAGAAUUUACGUUUUCCAUCCUGAUCUCUUUACAAAUUAUGUUUGUCGUCUCGUAGACCAUAAAUGUACAUAAGAAAAUUCAGAAAAAGGAUUUAUAGGUAUAAAAAUAAAGAUUCUAUUUUGUGAUUUAACUUCAAAUUGGCUCGUUCCAGUUGCGUUAGUUUCGUAAUAAACUUGUCUACAUUUUAAAAACAUUAUUUGUAUCAUUCCACAUACUUUUAUAAAUGGAUAUUGAUUUAACUUAUGUUAGUUAUUUAAUCAUUCUAGUAAAAGUCGAUUUAACUAUAAUUAUAAUCUGACUAAGAUCACUACUCAAGUUAUAACUUAGAUUAAAAUUGCAUUAGUUAUUUAUUUAUAAUAUUCUUCUCACAUGCUUUAUAUUAAUUAACAGAGGAUAUACUUUUAUUGUAAAAUCACCUAGAUCUUCUGAAAACCAUAUCUUUGUAACCAUAACUCUGAUUUUAGUGGUUCUUGAACUCGCGAUGUUACCAUACCCAUUAUUUUCUUGAUUGUAUGUAUUGCUACAAGUAGAAGCGAGAUCACGUGGAAUCUGAAGACCAAAUUGGAGAAGUACCUAGAGUUGCACCAAAAAGGCUAAUUGUGCCCUUGAUCAUUCUUCUUUACCAAAUAAUAUUCU